CUGUUGUAAUCAGUCUGGAGGCAGAUAUGUGGCGCCCUCUAGAGGACGUUAUGUGCAUCUGCUGCUUCAGAAAAACACCAAUUCAGACUCUGUGGAGGUGAAGGUGGUGUUUGGUGUUGAGGGAAACUCCUCGUUCCUGGAGUGCGUUCCUCGGUCGCUGCAGGCUGAGCUCAGCUGGACGGUGCAGCUGUCAGAGAGCCAGCAGGAAACUGUCAGACAGCAUUUAUUUCCAGGUUUGUGGCAGCAGUUCCUGACCUUCUUGGGCAGGAAGUAGACUCCCAGUGGGUAC